rnacentral:rRNA from 1 species
ACGAACGCUGGCGGCGUGCUUAACACAUGCAAGUCGAACGGUGAACUCCGCUUGCGGGGGGAUCAGUGGCGAACGGGUGAGUAACACGUGGGCAACCUGCCCUCAGCUCUGGGAUAACUCCAAGAAAUUGGGGCUAAUACCGGAUAUGACCGCUGACCGCAUGGUCUGGUGGUGGAAAGAUUUAUCGGCUGGGGAUGGGCCCGCGGCCUAUCAGCUUGUUGGUGGGGUAGUGGCCUACCAAGGCGACGACGGGUAGCCGGCCUGAGAGGGUGACCGGCCACACUGGGACUGAGACACGGCCCAGACUCCUACGGGAGGCAGCAGUGGGGAAUAUUGCGCAAUGGGCGAAAGCCUGACGCAGCGACGCCGCGUGGGGGAUGACGGCCUUCGGGUUGUAAACCUCUUUCAGCAGGGACGAAGUGAAAGUGACGGUACCUGCAGAAGAAGCACCGGCCAACUACGUG